rfam:Felis catus isolate Cinnamon breed Abyssinian chromosome E1, whole genome shotgun sequence.
GCCUGGGUGGCUCAGUCGGUUGAGCAUCCGACUUUGGCCCAGGUCAUGAUCUCACAGUUCGUGGGUUCGAGCCCCGCGUCAGGCU